AGUGAACGCUGGCGGUAGGCCUAACACAUGCAAGUCGAACGGCAGCACAGUAAGAGCUUGCUCUUACGGGUGGCGAGUGGCGGACGGGUGAGGAAUACAUCGGAAUCUACUUUUUCGUGGGGGAUAACGUAGGGAAACUUACGCUAAUACCGCAUACUACCUACGGGUGAAAGCAGUGGAUCUUCGGACCUUGCGCGAUUGAAUGAGCCGAUGUCGGAUUAGCUAGUUGGCGGGGUAAAGGCCCACCAAGGCGACGAUCCGUAGCUGGUCUGAGAGGAUGAUCAGCCACACUGGAACUGAGACACGGUCCAGACUCCUACGGGAGGCAGCAGUGGGGAAUAUUGGACAAUGGGCGCAAGCCUGAUCCAGCAAUACCGCGUGGGUGAAGAAGGCCUUCGGGUUGUAAAGCCCUUUUGUUGGGAAAGAAAAGCAGCAGGUUAAUACCCCGCUGUUCUGACGGUACCCAAAGAAUAAGCACCGGCUAACUUCGUG
rnacentral:rRNA from 1 species